rnacentral:tRNA from 1 species
GGUUGAUUAGUUUAAGUAAAACAUAAGUUUUGUAAAUUUAAGUUC